rnacentral:misc_RNA from 1 species
AAAAAGGUCCCAUUAACAACAAACCUUUCAUGAGGAAGCUAUUCUGGUUCAUUAUCAAAAUGUGGUUUGUGUGACAAGGAUAUUAUGCCUGUGAAUAAUUUUUUUUUGUUUUGUCAAGGUGAUUUUAUUGGCUACAGCUUAGCUCAAUGAAUCAUAGCAUUGGGACUUCAGUGUCUUGACUUUAUUUUGUAAAAAUUAAUAGCCUCUGCAAAUUUAUGGGCAUAUAUGAUUGGCAAGGAUUUCCGUAAAAGGGAAUGUACAUGCAUAUAUGCU